rnacentral:lncRNA from 1 species
GCUGGCGUAUGCGUUUAUGUCGAAAAGAACCAGCGAGUCAUACACCAGGGUGGUACAAGAAUUAAAAAACAACUAUUUAGGAAAUACCCUGGUUAAAAGAAUAAUAUCCGAUUUCGAACCAGCAAUGUAUACAGCCCUGCAAAAAAGUUUCCCCACUGCCGAGUGGAAGGGCUGUUGGUUUCAUUAUUGUCACAUCAUUUUGGCUACGAGAAAAUGGGCCAUCUAAAUUCAGCGUGUUUGGUCGGUAAGACCGAACCAACAAUUCCCUCGAGCGGUGGAAUCGCAAUCUAAAAGACCACGUGGCAUCACCCCAAAAUUUUCAAAAUUUAUGACUGACGGGAUUAAAUAUAUUCAACAAAAAGCAAAUAAAGCACUUUUAUCGCAACGGAGUGGAAAUUUACCGAGGCCUCGGGGAGAUGUGGAGCGAAAAAAAAAUAAUCGAAGAAGCAUGGGCAUCAA